rnacentral:rRNA from 1 species
GGGUUGUGAGGUUAAGCGACUAAGCGUACACGGUGGAUGCCCUGGCAGUCAGAGGCGAUGAAGGGCGUGCUAAUCUGCGAUAAGCGCCGGUAAGGUGAUAUGAACCGUUAUAACCGGCGAUACCCGAAUGGGGAAACCCAGUGUGACUCGUCACACUAUCAUUAACUGAAUCCAUAGGUUAAUGAGGCGAACCGGGGGAACUGAAACAUCUAAGUACCCCGAGGAAAAGAAAUCAACCGAGAUUCCCCCAGUAGCGGCGAGCGAACGGGGAGGAGCCCAGAGCCUGAAUCAGCAUGUGUGUUAGUGGAAGCGUCUGGAAAGGCGCGCGAUACAGGGUGACAGCCCCGUACACAAAAGCGCAUGUGCUGUGAGCUCGAUGAGUAGGGCGGGACACGUGGUAUCCUGUCUGAAUAUGGGGGGACCAUCCUCCAAGGCUAAAUACUCCUGACUGACCGAUAGUGAACCAGUACCGUGAGGGAAAGGCGAAAAGAACCCCGGCGAGGGGAGUGAAAAAGAACCUGAAACCGUGUACGUACAAGCAGUGGGAGCCCCACCACUAAGCCAGUGGUGAACUCCACAUACGCAUCCUUUGCUGAGGAUACGGUUAACGGAGCGAAAGCGACGUUCAACCGC